rnacentral:rRNA from 1 species
AGGUUAAGUUAACAAGGGCGCAUGGUGAAUGCCUUGGCACUAGGAGCCGAUGAAGGACGGGACUAACACCGAUAUGCUUCGGGGAGCUGUACGUAAGCUAUGAUCCGGAGAUUUCCGAAUGGGGCAACCCAGCAGUUUUAAUCAACUGUUACCACUAGAUGAAUUCAUAGUCUAGUUGGAGGUAAACGCUGUGAACUGAAACAUCUCAUUAGCAGCAGAAAUAUAAAGAAAUUUCGAUUCCCUAAGUAGCGGCGAGCGAACGGGGAACAGCCCAAACCAAAGUGCUUGCACUUUGGGGUUGUAGGACUGAACAUUUGAGUUACCAAAGAACUUGAUAGUCGAAGGAUUUGGGAAAAUCCGCCAUAGAUGGUGAUAGCCCAGUAGAUUAAAUCAAAUUCUCUCAGUUCAGGAUCCUGAGUACGGCGGAACACGUGAAAUUCCGUCGGAAUCCGGGAGGACCAUCUCCCAAGGCUAAAUACUACCUAGUGACCGAUAGUGAACCAGUACCGUGAGGGAAAGGUGAAAAGCACCCCGAGAGGGGAGUGAAAUAGUUCCUGAAACCAUGUGCCUACAAUAAGUCAGAGCGCGUUAAUGCGUGAUGGCGUGCCUUUUGUAGAAUGAACCGGCGAGUUAUGAUCCCGUGCAAGGUUAAGACUAAAAAGUCGGAGCCGUAGCGAAAGCGAGUCUGAAAUGGGCGUUUUGAGUACGAGAUUAUAGACCCGAAACCAGGUGACCUAUCCAUGUCCAGGUUGAAGGUGCGGUAAAACGCACUGGAGGACCGAACCCGUGUAAGUUGAAAAUUGCUGGGAUGAGGUGUGGAUAGCGGUGAAAUUCCAAACGAACUUGGAGAUAGCUGGUUCUCUCCGAAAUAGCUUUAGGGCUAGCCUCGGAAUUAGGAUCAUGGAGGUAGAGCACUAUUUGGACUAGGGGCCCGUCUUGGGUUACUGAAUUCAGAUAAACUCCGAAUGCCAUUGAUUCAUAUCCGGGAGUCAGACGAUGAGUGAUAAGAUCCACCGUCGAAAGGGGAACAGCCCAGACCAUCAGUUAAGGUCCCUAAAUGUAUGCUAAGUGGAAAAGGAUGUGGAGUUGCAUAGACAACUAGGAUGUUGGCUCAGAAGCAGCCACCAUUUAAAGAGUGCGUAAUAGCUCACUAGUCGAGUGAUCCUGCGCCGAAAAUGUACCGGGGCUAAGCAUACUACCGAAACCAUGGAUGCGACCAUUAGGUCGCGUGAUAGGAGAGCGUUCUAAGGGCGGUGAAGCAAGAUCGUGAGGACUUGUGGAGCGCUUAGAAGUGAGAAUGCCGGUAUGAGUAGCGAAAGAUAGGUGAGAAUCCUAUCCACCGAAUGACUAAGGUUUCCUGGGGAAGGCUCGUCCUCCCAGGGUUAGUCGGGACCUAAGUCGAGGCCGAGAGGCGUAGACGAUGGAUAACAGGUUGAGAUUCCUGUACUAGUUAAGUGCGUUUGAGCAAUGGAGGGACGCAGGAGGCUAAGAUGUGCAUUCUGUUGGAUUAGAAUGUCCAAGCAGCAAGUCUUGUGAAGAGUCAAAUGCUUUUCACUUUAAGGACAAGCUGUGAUGGGGAGCGAAAUUUAGUAGCGAAGCGUCUGAUGUCACACUGCCGAGAAAAGCUUCUAGUGAGUACUUAACUACCCGUACCGCAAACCGACACAGGUAGUCGAGGAGAGAAUCCUAAGGUGAGCGAGUGAACUCUCGUUAAGGAACUCGGCAAAAUGACCCCGUAACUUCGGGAGAAGGGGUGCUGAUCGCAAGAUCAGCCGCAGUGAAUAGGCCCAGGCGACUGUUUAUCAAAAACACAGGUCUCUGCAAAAUCGUAAGAUGACGUAUAGGGGCUGACGCCUGCCCGGUGCUGGAAGGUUAAAAGGAUGGGUUAGCUUCGGCGAAGCUCAGAAUUGAAGCCCCAGUAAACGGCGGCCGUAACUAUAACGGUCCUAAGGUAGCGAAAUUCCUUGUCGGGUAAGUUCCGACCCGCACGAAAGGCGUAACGAUCUGGGCACUGUCUCAACGAGAGACUCGGUGAAAUUAUAUUGUCCGUGAAGAUGCGGACUACCCGCGACAGGACGGAAAGACCCCAUGGAGCUUUACUGUAGCUUGAUAUUGAGUGUUUGUACAGCUUGUACAGGAUAGGUAGGAGCCAUAGAAACCGGAACGCUAGUUUCGGUGGAGGCGUUGGUGGGAUACUACCCUCGCUGUAUGACCACUCUAACCCGCACCACUAAUCGUGGUGGGAGACAGUGUCAGGUGGGCAGUUUGACUGGGGCGGUCGCCUCCUAAAAAGUAACGGAGGCGCCCAAAGGUUCCCUCAGAAUGGUUGGAAAUCAUUCGCAGAGUGUAAAGGCACAAGGGAGCUUGACUGCGAGACAGACAGGUCGAGCAGGGACGAAAGUCGGGCUUAGUGAUCCGGUGGUACCGUAUGGAAGGGCCAUCGCUCAACGGAUAAAAGCUACCCUGGGGAUAACAGGCUUAUCUCCCCCAAGAGUCCACAUCGACGGGGAGGUUUGGCACCUCGAUGUCGGCUCAUCGCAUCCUGGGGCUGUAGUCGGUCCCAAGGGUUGGGCUGUUCGCCCAUUAAAGCGGUACGCGAGCUGGGUUCAGAACGUCGUGAGACAGUUCGGUCCCUAUCCGUCGCGGGCGUAGGAAAUUUGAGAGGACCUGUCCUUAGUACGAGAGGACCGGGAUGGACAUACCUCUGGUGUACCAGUUGUGCCGCCAGGCGCAUCGCUGGGUAGCUACGUAUGGAUGUGAUAAACGCUGAAAGCAUCUAAGUGUGAAACACACCUCGAGAUGAGAUUUCCCAUUCCUUUAUGGAAGUAAGACCCCUGAAAGAUGAUCAGGUAGAUAGGUUAGAAGUGGCAGUGCGGUGACGCAUGAAGCGGACUAAUACUAAUCGGUCGAGGACUUAACCAAG